rnacentral:ncRNA from 2 species
UGCGUCGCAAUAGUAAUUCAACCUAGUACGAGAGGAACCGUUGAUUCGCACAAUUGGUCAUUGUUCUUGGUUGAAAAGCCAGUGGCACGAAGCUACCAUGCGCUGGAUUUUGACUGAACGCCUCUAAGUCAGAAUCCGGGCUAGAAGCGACGCAUGCGACUGCCGCCCGAUUGCCGACCAUCAGUAGGAGCUUUGGCUCCCAAAGGCACGUGUCGUUGGCUAAGUCCGUUCGGCGGAAGCGCCGUUCAGACCGCCUUGAAUUAUAAUUACCACCGAGUGGCGGUUAGAAUCCUUUGCAGAUGACUAAAAUACGCGACGGGGUAUUGUAAGUGCCAGAAUGGCCUUGCUGCCACGAUCCACUGAGAUUCAGCCCUUUAUCACUAAGAUUC